AUUGAACGCUGGCGGCAGGCCUUACACAUGCAAGUCGAGCGGCUGCAGGGAGUUUGCCCUUGCAUCCAGCGGCGGACGGGUGAGUAAUGCAUAGGAACCUGCCCGGUAGUGGGGGAUAGCGUGCCGAAACGGGCGCUAAUACCGCAUACGACCUGAGGGUGAAAGCGGGGGACCUUCAGACCUCACGCUAUCAGAUGAGCCUAGGUCGGAAUAGCUAGUUGGUGGGGUAAAGGCUUACCAAGGCGACGAUCCGUAGCUGGUCUGAGAGGAUGACCAGCCACACUGGAACUGAGACACGGUCCAGACUCCUACGGGAGGCAGCAGUGGGGAAUAUUGGACAAUGGGCGAAAGCCUGAUCCAGCCAUGCCGCGUGUGUGAAGAAGGUCUUCGGAUUGUAAAGCGCUUUUAGUUGGGAGGAAGGGCAGUAAGUUAAUACCUCGCUGUGUUGACGGUACCAACAGAAUAAGCACCGGCUAACUUCGUG
rnacentral:rRNA from 1 species